rnacentral:rRNA from 1 species
UACGUAGGGUGCAGGCGUUAAUCGGAAUUACUGGGCGUAAAGCGUGCGCAGGCGGUCUUUUAAGUCAGAUGUGAAAUCCCCGGGCUUAACCUGGGAACUGCGUUUGAAACUGGAAGGCUUGAGUGUGGCAGAGGGGGGUGGAAUUCCACGUGUAGCAGUGAAAUGCGUAGAUAUCUGGAGGAACACCGGUGGCGAAGGCGGCAUCCUGGACCGGCACUGACGCUGAUGAGCGAAAGCCAGGGGAGCAAACGGG